CACGUAGUUAGCCGGCGCUUCUUAUCCAGCUACCGUCAACCCACCCACAAGGAGCAGGCCUGCUUCACUGGCGAAAGAGGUUUACAACCCGAAGGCCUCCAUCCCUCACGCGGCGUCGCUGCAUCAGGCUUGCGCCCAUUGUGCAAUAUUCCCCACUGCUGCCUCCCGUAGGAGUCUGGGCCGUGUCUCAGUCCCAGUGUGACCGUCCACCCUCUCAGGCCGGCUACCCGUCACCGCCUUGGUAGGCCAUCACCCCACCAACAAGCUGAUAGGCCGCGAGCCCGUCCCCCACGAAACAAUAUCUUUCCCGGGCCCGUCAUGCGACAGACCCAGAAUAUCCCGUAUUAGCCACACUUUCAUGCGGUUAUCCAGAAGAAGGGGCAGGUUACUCACGUGUUACUCACCGUUCGCCACUCAUCCAGAACCAGCAAGCUGGUCCCUUCACCGUUCGACUUGCUAUGUGUUAAGCACGCCGCAGCGUCGUC
rnacentral:rRNA from 1 species